rnacentral:lncRNA from 1 species
AUACCUUCCUCUAAGAAGCAAGGGUUUCCUUAAUCAAUCAUAUUACGGAGAGCAAAGAGAGAAAGUCACUCUUCUUAUCGUUCGCCCACUUCACUUCUCUUGAAAGACAAGACAGGGAAGAGGUAGCGUCUAGGCCGAAAAACUCGUGGCUAAGGUCCAUGCACACUAGUUCAACGCGCUCACGUAAAACACACGAACUAAACUAGCAAGAUUAGGGUUUGGUUUUUAAGACAGCGCAGACUCAAGGAAUAAGUUUGCUUCAAAGCUAGAAAGGCUUAAUAAGCGCAUCUCCAGUACACU